rnacentral:rRNA from 1 species
UACGGGGGGAGCAAGCGUUGUCCGGAUUUACUGGGCGUAAAGAGCGCGCAGGCGGUCGGAUAAGUCGAAUGUGAAAGCCCCCGGCUCAACUGGGGAGGGUCAUUCGAUACUGUUCGACUCGAAGGCAGGAGAGGGAAGUGGAAUUCCCGGUGUAGUGGUGAAAUGCGUAGAUAUCGGGAGGAACACCAGUGGCGAAGGCGACUUCCUGGCCUGUUCUUGACGCUGAGGCGCGAAAGCUAGGGGAGCAAACGGG